AUUGAACGCUGGCGGCAGGCCUAACACAUGCAAGUCGAGCGAGAAAGGCCUUCGGGCUGAGUACAGCGGCGGACGGGUGAGUAACGCGUAGGAAUCUACCUGGUAGUGGGGGACAACAUGGGGAAACUCAUGCUAAUACCGCAUACGCCCUAUGGGGGAAAGCGGGGGACCUUCGGGCCUCGCGCUAUCAGAUGAGCCUGCGUAGGAUUAGCUUGUUGGUGAGGUAAAGGCUCACCAAGGCGACGAUCCUUAGCUGGUCUGAGAGGAUGAUCAGCCACACUGGGACUGAGACACGGCCCAGACUCCUACGGGAGGCAGCAGUGGGGAAUAUUGCGCAAUGGGCGAAAGCCUGACGCAGCCAUGCCGCGUGUGUGAAGAAGGCCUUAGGGUUGUAAAGCACUUUCAAUUGGGAAGAAAGGUUGCGUGUUAAUAGCACGUAGCUGUGACGUUACCUUUAGAAGAAGCACCGGCUAACUCCG
rnacentral:rRNA from 1 species